UACGUAGGGUGCAAGCGUUAAUCGGAAUUACUGGGCGUAAAGCGCACGUAGGUGGUUUGUUAAGUCAGCUGUGAAAUCCCCGGGCUCAACCUGGGCACUGCAGUUGGAACUGGCAAGCUAGAGUAGGGUAGAGGGGUGUGGAAUUCCAGGUGUAGCGGUGAAAUGCGUAGAUAUCUGGAGGAACAUCAGUGGCGAAGGCGACACCCUGGACUGAUACUGACACUGAGGUGCGAAAGCGUGGGGAGCAAACAGG
rnacentral:rRNA from 1 species